ensembl:lncRNA
ACUCCCUCAGGUGUCGGUGCGUUGGUGGUUCUUUGUGUCUGGGGAUGGGCGUCCGGGUACACACCGGCUCACUCCUUGGCGGCCGCUUAUCGGGGCCUGGAGCCUGGGGCCACUUCGGAGGUGGGGUGCCCCCGGCCUCUCGGCCUGGGGCUCGGUCACUCAGGCACAGCUGGCUGCCGGCGGAGCUCACGGGCGCGUCACUGCAACACCCCCUGGCUUCUGCUCCGCGGCUGCUGAGUGAGCCCUCAUCUGGGACUCUCCUCAGCUCUUACUGGGACAGUGGCACGGCUGCCCCUCUGUUGGUCCUCCUUGGUCUCUUGUGUUCUGGGGGCCUCUGGAUGUCUGGAGUUUUGAUCUCCUCCAUACCUGCUUCAUACCCUGGAGGACGGGGCUGUGGCUCCCCACACUCCCUAGCAGAUCGUUACAUGGAGAAACCUUUGGAAUGCAAGCAUGCUGAUCCACACAGGUAUGCACACAGGUGUACACACGGGUAUUCACAGACGCGGACUACAGCUUUCUUGGCUGCUGCCUCAAAGCACAUUGUGCGCCGUCUAUCUUGCGUGCUGCAUAAUAUCGUUUAUUAUUUAGUAUCUACUGAUAUCUACUGCUAGCUAGUUUAUUGUGAUGGUGCCGUUUUUUUUAUUAUGUUGCUCUUUGUUGUUUGCUUUCUCUUCUGUUUUUUUUCUCCAUACAGGUGAUCCAGGUGUUUUGUUUUGUUUUUGUUUGGUUGUUUUUUUUUUUCUUUCUUCCCCCCCUUCUCACCGUCUCUUCUCCCCUUUGGUUUUCUUUCUCUCCCUCUCUUUCUUUCAUUCUUUCUCCCUGUCCUAUCCCCCAGUCAUGUCUGUCCCGUUUGUAGCAACUGAAAAUAAAAUAAAUUCAUAAUUAUAAUAAAGGUCAAUCAAAUGGACCAAUAUGGCAAGGCCAUGAUGAUCCACUUGGUAAAAUAAAUCCGCUUGGCAUCUUUCUUGGCCUUAAGACAACAAUUCUGAUGGCUAAAGAUCCAAACGGGAUACAAAAAAAAAGAAAAAAAAAAAAAGAAAAAAAAAGACCGUCCAGGGAUGGGAGGCCGGUAACAAAGUCAAGGCCGACAUGGGACCAGGGACGUCCCAGCACAGGGAGAGGGCGAAGGUCGCCAGCAGGAGGCUGAGUGGAGGACUUGGCCCGAGCACAGGUGUCACAGGCGGAAACGAAUUCACGGACGUCCCGAGUCAUGGAGGGCCACCAGAAGGCACGACGGAGAACUCCUCCGUCGUCCUGUCAGGCCCUAGGUGACCAGAGAGCGGGGAGGAGUGAGCCCAGAGCAAAGCCUCCUGACGGCACCGGGAUGGUACAUAGAGCCUCCCAGCAGGGGUGUCAGGCGGAGGUGGUUUGGCGGUCAGGCCAUCCCGGAUAGAGUCCUCCAAGGGCCACCGAAGGGGGGCAGCGAAGCAAUGAGAAGGUAGGAUAGGUCCAGGGUCUGACGUGAGGCCGUCCUGGGCGAACUGUCUGGAGAGAGCGUCUGCCUUAGCGUUCUUGGAACCAGGGCGGUAGGCGAGGUGGAAAUUGUAAGGCUCAAAGAAUAAGGCCCAACGGGCCUGCCUUGGGUUGAGCUGCUUGGCAGAACGAAUAUGGAUCAGGUUCUGAUGAUCAGUCCAGAUCAGAAAAGGGUCCUUCGCUCCCAGGAGCCAAUGCUGCCACUCUUCUAA